rnacentral:tRNA from 1 species
GGGGCUCUAGCUCAUAUGGUAGAGCGUUCGCUUGCAUCAUUGCGAUAUGGGCUCUGCGAGAGGCACAGGGUUCGAUUCCCUGGUGCUCCA